UGGGGAAUAUUGGACAAUGGGCGCAAGCCUGAUCCAGCCAUGCCGCGUGAGUGACGAAGGCCUUAGGGUUGUAAAGCUCUUUUGGCGGGGAAGAUAAUGACGGUACCCGCAGAAUAAGCUCCGGCUAACUUCGUGCCAGCAGCCGCGGUAAUACGAAGGGAGCUAGCGUUGUUCGGAAUCACUGGGCGUAAAGCGCACGUAGGUGGGCAGUUAAGUCAGGGGUGAAAGCCCGAGGCUCAACCUCGGAAUUGCCUCUGAUACUGGCUGUCUAGAGUUCGAGAGAGGUGAGUGGAAUUCCUAGUGUAGAGGUGAAAUUCGUAGAUAUUAGGAAGAACACCGGUGGCGAAGGCGGCUCACUGGCUCGAUACUGACGCUGAGGCGCGAAAGCCAGGGGAGCAAACGGGAUUAGAUACCCAGGUAGUCCCUGAGCGGGCUGGCAAGGCGCAU
rnacentral:rRNA from 1 species